GGAGAGGUGGCAGAGUGGUUGAAUGCACUGGUCUUGAAAACCAGCAUACGUGUAAGCGUAUCGAGGGUUCGAAUCCCUCCCUCUCCGCCA
rnacentral:tRNA from 1 species